GAAGAGGAAGCUAAUUUCCUUAAACUCUUCUUAGAAGUAUCUGUGUGCUCCUGAAGGUCUCUUAUUUCUGUUACAUCCUCAGGAGAAGUUAGUGAUGCUGAGACAUACAAACAAACUGAAUUUGUUUGGGAAAGGGCAGGAGGACAGAGGGAAGAGGAGCACAGGCAAUCUCACUCUGUGAAUUUCACCAUUCAAAACAUGAUGGUCCAUCUGAACAACUGGGAAUACGGUUGCCACUGUCCAAUACUCAGUCUGUGAAAUUCUAUUUUCCUUCGCUGUGACUGCUGGGUCGUUUGUUGCUACAUGCAGGCCAUCUUCCUUUCAUUCACUUUCCAAGUAAGAACUGGAGGUGAAUGUUUGUCAUCCACUUCUGGCAGUUUACAAAGCAUUAACCUUUAAUUUUUUAUUUUACUUUAAUAGCUGUUUGCCUCAUUUUCUU
rnacentral:lncRNA from 12 species